rnacentral:rRNA from 1 species
CCUACGGGUGGCAGCAGUGGGGAAUAUUGCACAAUGGGCGCAAGCCUGAUGCAGCCAUGCCGCGUGUGUGAAGAAGGCCUUCGGGUUGUAAAGCACUUUCAGCGGGGAGGAAGGCGGUGAGGUUAAUAACCUCAUCGAUUGACGUUACCCGCAGAAGAAGCACCGGCUAACUCCGUGCCAGCUGCCGCGGUAAUACGGAGGGUGCAAGCGUUAAUCGGAAUUACUGGGCGUAAAGCGCACGCAGGCGGUCUGUCAAGUCGGAUGUGAAAUCCCCGGGCUCAACCUGGGAACUGCAUUCGAAACUGGCAGGCUAGAGUCUUGUAGAGGGGGGUAGAAUUCCAGGUGUAGCGGUGAAAUGCGUAGAGAUCUGGAGGAAUACCGGUGGCGAAGGCGGCCCCCUGGACAAAGACUGACGCUCAGGUGCGAAAGCGUGGGGAGCAAACAGGAUUAGAUACCCCGGUAGUC